GCCUACAUGGCGGAAUUGGCAGACGCGCUACGUUCAGGUCGUAGUGAGAGUGAUCUCGUGCAGGUUCAAGUCCUGUUGUAGGCA
rnacentral:tRNA from 2 species